rnacentral:misc_RNA from 1 species
GACUUUAGCUGGGAAUUUUGCGGUGGCCAAGCUACGAAUUUUCUGGGAGAAUUUCAUGGAAAAUGUGGUAUCAUUGAAUGCUGGAAGUGAUGGCUUAAGAAGGGGAUGUUUCUUGUUCUUGGAGUUAGAAACAGAAGGUUUCUCAUAUUCGAGAAUUCCAGAGGUGGUGGUGUUAUCAAAAGCAGCUGGACCGGUGGCGUAAGGCCUAGUAGCCAUUAAGAAGGUGGCAUUAGGUGCAGUGGC